rnacentral:rRNA from 1 species
AUCUAUGGCCAUACCCGCUAAGUGCGCCCGAUCUCCUCUGAUCUCAGAGCUAAGCAGGGUCGGGCCUGGUUAGUACUUGGAUGGGAGACUCUACUAUCCUGUUAUUAAUA